UACGUAGGGUGCAAGCGUUAAUCGGAAUUACUGGGCGUAAAGCGUGCGCAGGCGGUUAUGUAAGACAGGUGUGAAAUCCCAGGGCUUAACCUUGGAACUGCAUUUGUGACUGCAUAGCUAGAGUACGGUAGAGGGGGAUGGAAUUCCGCGUGUAGCAGUGAAAUGCGUAGAUAUGCGGAGGAACACCGAUGGCGAAGGCAAUCCCCCUGGACCUGUACUGACGCUCAUGCACGAAAGCGUGGGGAGCAAACAGG
rnacentral:rRNA from 1 species